rnacentral:rRNA from 1 species
UACGUAGGAUGCAAGCGUUGUCCGGAUUUACUGGGCGUAAAGAGCGCGCAGGCGGUCGUUCAAGUCGAGUGUGAAAGCCCCCGGCUCAACUGGGGAGGGUCACUCGAUACUGAUCGACUUGAAGGCGGGAGAGGGAAGCGGAAUUCCCGGUGUAGUGGUGAAAUGCGUAGAUAUCGGGAGGAACACCAGUGGCGAAGGCGGCUUUCUGGCCCGUUCUUGACGCUGAGGCGCGAAAGCUAGGGUAGCAAACGGG